CGGCGGACGGCUCAGUAACACGUGGACAACCUACCCUCGGGUGGGGGAUAACCCCGGGAAACUGGGGCUAAUACCCCAUAGGCCAUGGAGACUGGAAUGUCCCAUGGCCGAAAGCUCCGGCGCCCGAGGAUGGGUCUGCGGCGGAUUAGGUAGUUGGUGGGGUAACGGCCCACCAAGCCUAAGAUCCGUACGGGCUGUGAGAGCAGGAGCCCGGAGAUGGACACUGAGACAAGGGUCCAGGCCCUACGGGGCGCAGCAGGCGCGAAACCUCCGCAAUGCGGGAAACCGCGACGGGGCUAGCCAGAGUGCCCGUGCAUAGCGCGGGCUGUCCGGGUGCCUAAAAAGCACCCGAUAGCAAGGGAUGGGCAAGGCCGGUGGCAGCCGCCGCGGUAAUACCGGCGUCCCGAGUGGCGGCCACUAUUAUUGGGCCUAAAGCGUCCGUAGCCGGCCCAGUAAGUCCCCCGGGAAAUCUGGUCGCUCAACGAUCAGACUUCCGGGGGAUACUGCUGGGCUAGGGACCGGGAGAGGCCGAGGGUAUUCCCGGGGUAGGGGUGAAAUCCUGUAAUCCCGGGAGGACCACCUGUGGCGAAGGCGCUCGGCUAGAACGGGUCCGACGGUGAGGGACGAAGGCCUGGGGAGCGAACCGGAUUAGAUACCCGGGUAGUCCAGGCUGUAAACGAUGCGGGCUAGGUGUCACCGAAGCUACGAGCUUCGGUGGUGCCGGAGGGGAGCCGUUAAGCCCGCCGCCUGGGAAGUACGGCCGCAAGGCUGAAACUUAAAGGAAUUGGCGGGGGAGCACUACAACGGGUGGAGCCUGCGGUUUAAUUGGAUUCAACGCCGGGAAGCUCACCGGGGGAGACAGCUGGAUGAAGGUCGGGCUGAAGACCUUACCA
rnacentral:rRNA from 1 species